UGACUACUGUAUGAAUGGGGGAAACAAGUACAACCUAAAGAAAUCAGUAAGCUACUAUAUGCGGCAGAACUUGAUAAGUAUCUCAAUUAUCACAAGUUGAACAGGAAAGGAAAGAAGCCGGAUAAGGUAUUCAAAACCAUAGCGUUAAAUAAGUAAUAUAACAGUUUAUAGUAUCAAUACUGUCCAUUGCAACUCGAUGCAAUUUAGCCACUUCCUCUCUGUGUAAGUUAUUAUGAUUUAUGUAUGAAGAGGGACAGGAGUAUUCAGAGCGUGGAAAUACCAUGUACUGUAGACAGUGAUGACGACGAGAGUGAAUUAGAGGAACUGGAUACUGUAGAGAGUGUGCGUGAAACUGAAAUGUCU
rnacentral:lncRNA from 1 species